UAUUCCCCACUGCUGCCUCCCGUAGGAGUAUGGACCGUGUCUCAGUUCCAUUGUGGGGGACCUUCCUCUCAGAACCCCUACCCAUCGUCGCCUCGGUGGGCCGUUACCCCGCCGACUAGCUAAUGGGACGCGAGCCAAUCCGCAACCGAUUAAUCUUUCAAACAAGAUCCAUGCGAACCCUGUUGUUAUGGGGUAUUAGUAGACGUUUCCAUCUGUUAUCCCCCGGUCGCGGGCAUGUCGCUCACGCGUUAUGCACCCUUUCGCCGGUCGCCGCCAGUAGUAUUGCUACUACCGCGCUGCCCCUCGACUUGCAUGUGUUAAGCCUGCCGCCAGCGUUCAUCCUGAGCCAA
rnacentral:rRNA from 1 species